AACGAACGCUGGCGGCAGGCUUAACACAUGCAAGUCGAACGGGUGCAGCAAUGCACCAGUGGCAGACGGGUGAGUAACACGUGGGAACCUUCCUAGGGGUACGGAACAACUCAGGGAAACUUGAGCUAAUACCGUAUACGCCCCGGAGCAAUCCGGGGGAAGAUUCAUCGCCCCUAGACGGGCCCGCGUCGGAUUAGGUAGUUGGUGGGGUAACGGCCGUACCCAAGCCUACGAUCCGUAGCUGAUCUGAGAGGAUGAUCAGCCACACUGGGACUGAGACACGGCCCANACGUCCUACGGGAGGCAGCAGUGGGGAAUCUUGGGACAAUGGGCGCAAGCCUGAUCC
rnacentral:rRNA from 1 species